CCUACGGGACGCAGCAGUGGGGAAUAUUGGACAAUGGGCGCAAGCCUGAUCCAGCCGUGCCGCGUGAGUGAAGAGGGCCUUAGGGUUGUAAAGCUCUUUCACCGGUGAAGAUAAUGACGGUAACCGGAGAAGAGGCCCCGGCUAACUUCGUGCCAGCAGCCGCGGUAAUACGAAGGGGGCUAGCGUUGUGCGGAAUUACUGGGCGUAAAGCGCGCGUAGGCGGAUAGAUAAGUCAGAGGUGAAAUCCCGGGGCUCAACCCCGGAAUUGCCUUUGAUACUGUUUGUCUUGAGUGCAGAAGAGGUAAGUGGAAUUCCGAGUGUAGAGGUGAAAUUCGUAGAUAUUCGGAGGAACACCAGUGGCGAAGGCGGCUUACUGGUCUGCAACUGACGCUGAGGCGCGAAAGCGUGGGGAGCAAACAGGAUUAGAUACCCGUGUAGUC
rnacentral:rRNA from 1 species